UUAGAGGAAGUAAAAGUCGUAACAAGGUUUCCGUAGGUGAACCUGCGGAAGGAUCAUUACAGAAAGUAAACGCGGAUCAAACCGCGAACUUCUAAACCUUUGACGAUCGACUCAUGUUGCCUCGGCGGGUGCUCCCGCCAGAGGAUACAUCAAAACUCAUGUUUUAACGGUGUUGUCUGAGCUACAAGCAACGAAUCAAAACUUUCAACAACGGAUCUCUUGGUUCUGGCAUCGAUGAAGAACGCAGCGAAAUGCGAUAAGUAGUGUGAAUUGCAGAAUUCAGUGAAUCAUCGAAUCUUUGAACGCACAUUGCGCCCCUUGGUAUCCCGAGGGGCAUGCCUGUUCGAGCGUCAUUUCACCACUCAAGCCUGGCUUGGUGUUGGGCGACGUCCCCUUUGGGGACGCGCUUCGAAACGCUCGGCGGCGUGGCAUCGGCUUUAAGCGUAGCAGAAUCUUUCGCUUUGAAAGUCGGGGCCCCGUCUGCCGGAAGACCUACUCGCAAGGUUGACCUCGGAUCAGGUAGGGAUACCCGCUGAACUUAAGCAUAUCAAUA
rnacentral:rRNA from 1 species